ACGUAGGUGGCGAGCGUUAUCCGGAUUUACUGGGCGUAAAGAGGGCGCAGGCGGCUUGGCAAGUCGGAUGUAAAAUCUCCCGGCUUAACCGGGAGGGAUCGUUCGAUACUGCUGGGCUAGAGGGCAGCAGAGGGUGAUGGAAUUCCCAGUGUAGUGGUGAAAUGCGUAGAUAUCGGGAGGAACACCGGUGGCGAAGGCGACUCUCUGGUCCGUCCCUGACGCUGAGGCGCGAAAGCGUGGGUAGCAAACA
rnacentral:rRNA from 1 species